UGUUUUUUUUAAUUGUUAUGUAUUUGUUAUUAAAUUUCUUUAAAAGAAAUAUUCUUUGACUUCGUGAGUUCGUUUUUUUAAAUUCGCACGAAAUAUCAGAUGAUUCCAUAUAAGUUGGGUUGUGUGUAUAUUUAUGAAUAUUGACCAGUGUAUUGUAUCAUAAUUUUAAUAUUUAAUAUUUCGCUUUUUAGGAAGUCAUUGGUAAAAAAUCGUCAUGGUGCAGAAGUUACAAUAAAACUCGGAAACGCUUCGUUAGUAGCCAAUGUUAAUAAUGGAAAACAUUAUUAUAAAUGCUUCAAUGAUCAAAUGUCGAAAUAUACCUACUAACCUAGAA
rnacentral:lncRNA from 1 species